GGAUGUAAGGGCAGUCUAGCUGCAACAUUAAUUAUCAGGGUUGAUUUGGCUGGUCUGGCUGGCUAUGCAGGUAUCCCCUUCUUCCAUCACCACUCCAUGUGCAUCCCUCCCGAAGCUGUGCAUUCAUUGGAAGAGGACGACCAUCCCAGAUAGAAGGAGCAUACUGAAUAUUUGGUAGGUCAAGGGUGUCCAAUAGCAAAUAGGAUGUCAGAGAAAGAAAAAUAGUAAUAAUAAAGUACCAUUUCAAUAACCUUCUGUUUACAAGGCAAAUGUUAUAACCAUCUUGCUGUUACAACAUUCAUUGCAGAGGU
rnacentral:snRNA from 1 species